UCCUUGGGGUGGGUGCCGAGAAGUCAUCUUUAACUGGCUGCGGAAACCGCGUUUGCCUGCCCGGCUCCCUGGGAGAGGGAGCGGGUCGAUAACCGGUGACUGACAGCGGGGACGGGACUCGGGGGGCUACAGAAGUGAGCCCCAAAUGUCGGCCAUUCCCCAGCCUCCGGCUCUUCCCCUGCUAUCCGGACCCUCGCGUCAGGUCUCCUGCCACCUGCUGCAACCGGCUUUUUUCCCCCGCUCUGCUCUCAGUAGGUAAAAUAGUUACUGCUCCGCCGUCGCCAGGCCGAAAGUGCGGGUGAAAGCUUGUGCCUCGGGUCCCUUGCAGGACCACGCGAGUGAUUCGGUGUGCUCUCAGCUGGGAGAAAAGCGGCCAAGAGCUCCUGGACUCUGCAAUUCCAAUGAGGAAGCCUUAAUGCUUGUUUUUAUAGCCUAAAAUCAAUUUGAAAAAGCAGUCAUCGAUGCUUUGUCCUCUAACAAGUGUAGUACAGCAGACUUCAUACACAGACGUGUUCCAGUUGUGUAAAGGUAACAUUACCACCUUUGGAUGAAGCAAGGUCAAGAGAAGAAUAUUCAGGCAAAAUUAUGAGAAUGCAAAUUUUACUUAGGAUGUUCCUGGAACUCCAGCAGGUACUUGUUCAAUCUCGUCUUGCACCAACCAAGAGAAACUUUUUGCAACAUCAUUUAGCAAGGCCUGCCAUGGAUCUGGCACCCACUAUGUGAAGAGUUAGCUUUUUUUUUUUUUUUUUUUGUGUGUGUUUUCAACCAGACUCCACAUGUGCUGUACUGUAGUCCGCUGAUUCUCGUAACAGACAGGUAUCUGUUCUCAAAUAUUGACUUGUGUAGUAUUCUUUGCCACUGAGAGGUAUUAUGCACAUGCAAAGCUAUGGAUUGUAAACUAACACUACUAUAGAGCUACGUAACAUCUCUGUGUUGGGAUAUGCAGAUAAAGCAAGUAAGAAUGCA